GCGGCCGCCAUGUUAGGAGUGUAGUGGCGGCGCAGCCUGCCUCCUCGGGCGGCGGAGGUGAGCAGUUGUAGUGGAAGAGUUGUCUGCUGGUUCUCAGCUUGAAGAAGAUUCUACAGUCCUUAUUGAUCCUUUUUCUUGGCGUUACCAUUUUUGAAGCAAAGUUAACCUAGCUUUCUAGUUUGAGCUUUCUUUUUGGCCGUCUUUUAAAACAUUUUUUUUUUGAUCUAUAAAAUAGACAAGAGAUAGUUCUACAAUGUCCAAGUCAUUCCAGCAGUCAUCUCUCGGUAGGGAUUCACAGGGUCAUGGGCGUGACCUGUCUGCAGCAGGAAUAGGCCUUCUUGCUGCUGCUACCCAGUCUUUAAGUAUGCCAGCAUCUCUUGGAAGGAUGAACCAGGGUACUGCACGCCUUGCUAGCUUAAUGAAUCUUGGAAUGAGUUCUUCAUUGAAUCAACAAGGAGCUCAUAGUGCACUGUCUUCUGCUAGUACUUCUUCCCAUAAUUUGCAGUCUAUAUUUAACAU
rnacentral:lncRNA from 1 species